rnacentral:lncRNA from 1 species
UUUAACUGGUAUUUUAUUUUAUAUUUAUUUAUCUUUGCAGUGCUAGGGGAUUGAACCCAGGGUUUCACACAUAGUAAACAAGCACUGUACUUCUGAGUUCCACCCUAGCCCCUAAAUGUUGUUUUUAAUUUAAUUUUCAAUAGCCUUGUAUUUUGUUUGCACUUAAUGUACAAGUUGUUUUCAUUUUAUCUUUAUGUAAGAGCCAUAAGCAGAUUUAUGUUUAUAUUUAGAUACCAUAAAAAAUAUUAAUGUAGAAAUUCCUUGAGCACUUUUUAAAAAAAAUAUUUAUUUUCCAGUUGUAGGUGGACACAAUAUCUUUAUUUCAUUUUUAUGUGGUGCUGAGGAUCAAACCCAGUGCCUCACAUGUGCUAGGCAAGCACUCUACCCCUGAGCCACAACCCCAGCCCCCAUGAGCACUUUUUUUCCCCCUCUAAAGAUUUACACAUUAGUUAAUGUUGAAAAAUACAAGAUUCAUUUGUUUAUCAAGGCAGGCAGAUUGAAACCUAAGACUUAGAGUAGAUCUGUGCUUGGAGUCUGGUAGAAUGAACUUAGCCUUGCAGUUUUCACUCUGCUCAGAGGGUAGGGGGGCAGAUGCACACACCUCCCCUGUCUGGACAGAAGGCUAACAGCAGCUGUAUUUCCAUCCCAUUUCCCCAGGCAGCCUACUGAAUACAUGUUCAGUAAAUAAAGAGAAGAAAGACAGAAAUUUUUAAAAACCAAAUUUUAAAAAUCUUUA